rnacentral:misc_RNA from 1 species
CGCACAUUGCGCCCCUCGGUAUUCCGGGGGGCAUACCUGUUCGAGCGUCAUUAUCUCUCUCGCGGAAUGAGUUUGACGACUCACCCACGCGGUCAUGGGCGUCGCUCCCCUGGGGCGUGCCCGAAAGUCAGUGGCGGUCCGGUGCGACUUGGGACGUAGUAAAACCUCUCCCGUCCUGCAAGUCUCGCGCCGCGUCCGGCCAGAAGCGGGGCCGCUCGCGCGGUCACCACCUCUCACGACUGACCUCGAAUCAGGUAGGGAUACCCGCUGAACUUAA